rnacentral:lncRNA from 1 species
GUCCAAACUGCCAGAUUUAUUGUUUCGCGUGAAAGACUUACAUUAUUAGAUAGGAAUCAUAUCGAUUUGUGAAAAAAAUUAACAACUUUAUAUCAAAAACAUUUAAUAUAUUCGAAGCUGCGGUUUGGGGAAAAUUUCAUAAUUUUAAAUAGCAUAUAAAACGGAAAACAUGAUAUGAGAAAGACGUAUAAUUGAGUAUUUAAAAGAGAAGUCAUGAAGUGUAAAGAUUAAAACCAAACUGAAUUAUGAAAAACAUGAAAAACGAAUUUAGCGAUUCUCUUAAUCAUAGACGUUGUCUACUUAUGCGGGUAGACCUCCUU